GGGGAAGCUAGGAGCACUGCAGGAGGACUCAGCUCCAGACAGAAGCUGCUGAGACAUCCAGCCUUGCACUUUGAACAAAUACUGGAUUACUGGCCUUUCCAUAGGAUUAGACACAUAGUUGGACUAGCUGGACCACCACCUGAAUACCCUUGAUUCCCCCAUCAUGACUCCUGGGAGCAAGCAAGACCUGACAAAUUCCUGCUGAAAUAGUCCAGGAUCUAGGAACUCCUCAAAACUUCUCCAAACAGCAGAGGUGACAGACGACUUUUACUGGACUACUGGAUAGACUAUUUGCUAUCAUCACUCCCAACAUUCUGCCAAUGCCUUGAUAAUUUGAGUGAAGUGAAUCUAAAAACAAUUUCUAAGUGUCAUGUCAUAAUAUCCAGGUUAUGGCAUGGUUUACUGCACACUUCUUUUAGUCAGAGCUACAGUGUCUUACACUUUUAUUUCACUUGUUGCUGUGAGACAACACCUGCCAAAAGCACCUUAAGGAAGGGUAGGCUGACUUUAGCUUAUGGUUUGAGGGAAAAGUUGGAGUGGGGAAGGUGUGGCAACAGAGACCUGAGGUGGCUAGUUACAUCAUGUCUGUAGUCAGGAGACUGGGACAGAUGAGCUGGUAUUCAGCUCAUCUUCUCCUUUUUGUAUCCAGCUCAGCAACCUGGCCCAA